rnacentral:rRNA from 1 species
GACGAACGCUGGCGGCGUGCUUAACACAUGCAAGUCGAACGGAAAGGCCCUGCUUUUGUGGGGUGCUCGAGUGGCGAACGGGUGAGUAACACGUGAGUAACCUGCCCUUGACUUUGGGAUAACUUCAGGAAACUGGGGCUAAUACCGGAUAGGAGCUCCUGCUGCAUGGUGGGGGUUGGAAAGUUUCGGCGGUUGGGGAUGGACUCGCGGCUUAUCAGCUUGUUGGUGGGGUAGUGGCUUACCAAGGCUUUGACAGGUAGCCGGCCUGAGAGGGUGACCGGCCACAUUGGGACUGAGAUACGGCCCAGACUCCUACGGGAGGCAGCAGUGGGGAAUAUUGCACAAUGGGCGGAAGCCUGAUGCAGCAACGCCGCGUGCGGGAUGACGGCCUUCGGGUUGUAAACCGCUUUCGCCUGUGACGAAGCGUGAGUGACGGUAAUGGGUAAAGAAGCACCGGCUAACUACGUGCCAGCAGCCGCGGUGAUACGUAGGGUGCGAGCGUUGUCCGGAUUUAUUGGGCGUAAAGGGCUCGUAGGUGGUUGAUCGCGUCGGAAGUGUAAUCUUGGGGCUUAACCCUGAGCGUGCUUUCGAUACGGGUUGACUUGAGGAAGGUAGGGGAGAAUGGAAUUCCUGGUGGAGCGGUGGAAUGCGCAGAUAUCAGGAGGAACACCAGUGGCGAAGGCGGUUCUCUGGGCCUUUCCUGACGCUGAGGAGCGAAAGCGUGGGGAGCGAACAGGCUUAGAUACCCUGGUAGUCCACGCUGUAAACGGUGGGUACUAGGUGUGGGAUCCAUUCCACGGGUUCCGUGCCGUAGCUAACGCUUUAAGUACCCCGCCUGGGGAGUACGGCCGCAAGGCUAAAACUCAAAGGAAUUGACGGGGCCCCGCACAAGCGGCGGAGCAUGCGGAUUAAUUCGAUGCAACGCGUAGAACCUUACCUGGGUUUGACAUGGAUCGGGAGCGCUCAGAGAUGGGUGUGCCUCUUUUGGGGUCGGUUCACAGGUGGUGCAUGGCUGUCGUCAGCUCGUGUCGUGAGAUGUUGGGUUAAGUCCCGCAACGAGCGCAACCCUUGUUCACUGUUGCCAGCACGUUAUGGUGGGGACUCAGUGGAGACCGCCGGGGUCAACUCGGAGGAAGGUGGGGAUGACGUCAAGUCAUCAUGCCCCUUAUGUCCAGGGCUUCACGCAUGCUACAAUGGCUGGUACAGAGAGUGGCGAGCCUGUGAGGGUGAGCGAAUCUCGGAAAGCCGGUCUCAGUUCGGAUUGGGGUCUGCAACUCGACCUCAUGAAGUCGGAGUCGCUAGUAAUCGCAGAUCAGCAACGCUGCGGUGAAUACGUUCCCGGG